CUCAAUAAAUGCUAGCCCACGUGUCAAAAGAUUGGUGACACCAAUUCAAAAUAUCAUCUGAUGCUUUGAGAAAAUCAAAAGCAAGUGUACUCUUUUGACCAAGUUUACUUAGCAUUUACAUUGAAAAAGCAAAAGGGAAGUCUAGGGAAGAGUAAGUGUAGAGAAAUAAGUUACAGAACGGAAGAAGCAAAUCGGUCAUCGUUGAGUCCUUAAAGAAGAAGAUGGUAAAAGAAAAAUGUGAAGACUAAUGAAGUCGAAGUCUUGAAGAAGAGAGGACCACUCAAGCAGAAACAUUCCAAACAUUGAUGUCAAAGAAAUAUCACGUGGAAGGACGCUCAUGGCAUUUUUCUUUGAGUAGGACCAAUAUUGGUUAGAGGACUUCUGCGUUUCGUGUAACUCUAACUCAUGUUAGAUGCAAUGAUUUUUAUUUUAUUUUU